GUAGGUGGCAAGCGUUGUCCGGAAUUAUUGGGCGUAAAGCGCGCGCAGGCGGUUCUUUAAGUCUGAUGUGAAACGCCCACGGCGGCAACCGUGGAGGGUCAUUGGAAACUGGAGAACUUGAGUACAGAAGCGGAAUUCCACGUGUAGCGGUGAAAUGCGUAGAGAUGUGGAGGAACACCAGUGGCGAAGGCGGCUUUUCUGGUCUGUAACUGACGCUGAGGCGCGAAAGCGUGGGGAGCAAACAGGGAUUAGAUACCCUGGUAGUCCACGCCGUAAACGAUGAGUGCUAAGUGUUAGGGGGUUUCCGCCCCCUUAGUGCUGCAGCUAACGCAUUAAGCACUCCGCCUGGGGAGUACGGCCGCAAGGCUG
rnacentral:rRNA from 1 species